CAGCCGCCGCGGUAAAACGUAGGGUGCAAGCGUUGUCCGGAAUUACUGGGUGUAAAGGGAGCGCAGGCGGUCUUUUAAGUUGGAAGUCAAAACUACGGGCUCAACCCGUAAUCGCUUUCAAAACUGAAGGACUUGAGUGAAGUAGAGGUAGGCGGAAUUUCCGGUGUAGCGGUGGAAUGCGUAGAUAUCGGAAGGAACACCAGUGGCGAAGGCGGCCUACUGGGCUUUUACUGACGCUGAGGCUCGAAAGCAUGGGUAGCAAACAGGAUUAGAUACCCUGGUAGUCCAUGCCGUAAACGAUGAUUACUAGGUGUGGGUUGGAAACGAUCCGUGCCGCAGUUAACACAAUAAGUAAUCCACCUGGGGAGUACGGCCGCAAGGCUGAAACUCAAAGGAAUUGACGGGGGCCCGCACAAGCAGUGGAGUAUGUGGUUUAAUUCGAAGCAACGCGAAGAACCUUACCAGGUCUUGACAUCGUAUGCAUACCUAAGAGAUUAGGGAAGUCCUUCGGGACAUAUAGACAGGUGGUGCAUGGCC
rnacentral:rRNA from 1 species